rnacentral:rRNA from 1 species
UACAGAGGUCUCAAGCGUUGUUCGGAAUUACUGGGCGUAAAGGGUGCGCAGGCCGCGCGGGCAGUCAAAUGUGUAAUUCAGGGGCUCAACCCCUGCACUGCGCUUGAUACUUCCGCGCUCGAGCUUUGGAGAGGAGUCUGGAAUUCUCGGUGUAGCAGUGCAAUGCGUGGAUAUCGAGAAGAACACUUAGGGCGUAGGCAAGACUCUGGACAAAUGCUGACGCUCAUGCACGAAGGCUAGGGUAGCGAACGGG